rnacentral:rRNA from 1 species
GAUGAACGCUAGCGACAGGCUUAACACAUGCAAGUCGAGGGGUAACAGGGUAGCAAUACCGCUGACGACCGGCGCACGGGUGAGUAACGCGUAUGCAACCUGCCUAUAACUGGGGAAUAGCUCCCUGAAAGGGGAAUUAACACCGCAUAACACUAUUGAUUCGCAUGGAUUAGUAGUUAAAUGUAGCGAUACAGGUUAUAGAUGGGCAUGCGUGACAUUAGCUAGUUGGUGAGGUAACGGCUCACCAAGGCUACGAUGUCUAGGGGUUCUGAGAGGAAGGUCCCCCACACUGGUACUGAGACACGGCCCAGACUCCUACGGGAGGCAGCAGUAGGGAAUAUUGGGCAAUGGGCGAAAGCCUGACCCAGCCAUGCCGCGUGAAGGAAGACGGCCUUAUGGGUUGUAAACUUCUUUACUACGCGAAUAGAGGUUAGUACGAGAUACUAAUAGGAAGGUAGUGUAGUAAAAGCACCGGCUAACUCCGUGCCAGCAGCCGCGGU